AGUGAACGCUGGCGGCAGGCCUAACACAUGCAAGUCGAACGGCAGCGCAGUGACAACCCUGGCUGCCGGGGGCGGACUGGUGGGGGAGUCGGGAGAAUCUCCCUAUUUACGUUUUAUAGCGUAUGAACACAUAGGAACUUACCCCAAUCGCGCAAACGGCCUACGGGGGGAAGCGCGAGAUCUUCCGCCCUAACGUGAUCGGAUGACCGAUUAGCUAGUUGGUGGGGUGAAGGCCCACCAAGGCGACGAGCGGUAGAUGGUCUGAGAGGAUGAUCAGCCACACUGGAACUGAGACACGGCCCAGACUCCUACGGGAGGCAGCAGUGGGGAAUAUUGGACAAUGGGCGCAAGCCUGAUCCAGCCAUGCCGCGUGUGUGAAGAAGGCCUUCGGGUUGUAAAGCACUUUUGUUGGGAAAGAAAUGCAGCAGGUUAAUACCCCGCUGUGAUGACGGUACCGGAAGAAUAAGCACCGGCUAACUUCGUG
rnacentral:rRNA from 1 species